rnacentral:lncRNA from 1 species
GAGGAGGAGGUUGAGGAGGAGGCCGCAUGGGGUGGAGGGUGGCGAAGAGGGCAGUUUCAUCCAGAAUUUUUUUUUACAAGAUUACCAAAGUAGUGGUAAUCUGGAUAGCCAUCCCUCUCUUUGAUAAUCCAAAUUACCUCAUGGGAGGUAAUCUGGAUUACCUGAUAAUCUGCAUUACCAAGCCAAAUGGCAUACCAAACAUGAUAAUCUGAUG